rnacentral:rRNA from 1 species
AGAACGAACGCUGGCGGCAUGCCUAAUACAUGCAAGUCGAACGAACUCUUCGGAGUUAGUGGCGCACGGGUGCGUAACGCGUGGGAAUCUGCCCUUGGGUUCGGAAUAACAGUUGGAAACGACUGCUAAUACCGGAUGAUGACGAAAGUCCAAAGAUUUAUCGCCCAGGGAUGAGCCCGCGUAGGAUUAGCUAGUUGGUGAGGUAAAGGCUCACCAAGGCGACGAUCCUUAGCUGGUCUGAGAGGAUGAUCAGCCACACUGGGACUGAGACACGGCCCAGACCUCCGUACGGGAGCAGCAGGUAGGGAAUAGUUGGAC